rnacentral:rRNA from 1 species
AUACGAAGGGGGCAAGCGUUGUUCGGAAUAACUGGGCGUAAAGCGCACGUAGGCGGAAUGUUAAGUUAGAGGUGAAAUCCCAGGGCUCAACCCUGGAACGGCCUUUAAUACUGGCAAUCUAGAGACCGAGAGAGGUGAGUGGAAUUCCGAGUGUAGAGGUGAAAUUCGUAGAUAUUCGGAGGAACACCAGUGGCGAAGGCGGCUCACUGGCUCGGUACUGACGCUGUGGUGCGAAAGCGUGGGGAGCAAACAGGAUUAGAAACCCUAGUAGUCC